AUACGGAGGGUGCGAGCGUUAAUCGGAAUUACUGGGCGUAAAGCGUGCGUAGGCGGUUUGCUAAGUCAGAUGUGAAAGCCCCGGGCUUAACCUGGGAACUGCAUUUGAUACUGGCAGACUAGAGUAUGAUAGAGGGGGGUAGAAUUCCUGGUGUAGCGGUGAAGUGCGUAGAUAUCAGGAGGAAUACCAGUGGCGAAGGCGGCCCCCUGGAUCAAUACUGCCGCUGAGGUACGAAAGCGUGGGGAGCGAACAGGAUUAGAAACCCUAGUAGUCC
rnacentral:rRNA from 1 species